GGGCGUUUAGCUCAGUUGGUAGAGCUUCUCGUUUACACCGAGGGGGUCGGGGGUUCGAGUCCCUCAGCGCCCA
rnacentral:tRNA from 1 species